rnacentral:rRNA from 1 species
UAAUACGUAGGUGGCAAGCGUUGUCCGGAAUUACUGGGUGUAAAGGGCGAGUAGGCGGGUGCACAAGUCAGAUGUGAAAUACCAGGGCUCAACCCUGGGGCUGCAUUUGAAACUGUGCGUCUUGAGUGAUGGAGAGGCAGGCGGAAUUCCCGGUGUAGCGGUAAAAUGCAUAGAGAUCGGGAGGAACACCAGUGGCGAAGGCGGCCUGCUGGACAUUAACUGACGCUGAGGCGCGAAAGUGUGGGGAGCAAACAGG